rnacentral:tRNA from 1 species
GGCCCGUUCGUCUAACGGUUAGGACGCAAGAUUCUCAAUCUUGUAAUAGGGGUUCGAUUCCCCUACGGGCUA